rnacentral:rRNA from 1 species
UACAGAGGGUGCGAGCGUUAAUCGGAGUUACUGGGCGUAAAGGGCGCGUAGGCGGUUAUAUAAGUGAGAUGUGAAAUCCCUGGGCUUAACCUAGGAACUGCAUCUCAUACUGUAUGACUGGAGUAUUGUAGAGGGUAGUGGAAUUUCCGGUGUAGCGGUGAAAUGCGUAGAGAUCGGAAGGAACACCAGUGGCGAAGGCGGCUACCUGGACAAAAUACUGACGCUGAGGCGCGAGAGCGUGGGGGAGCAAACAG